CGCGCUAGACCGUAAGUGGUGCCAGAGACUGUUUAAGUGGGGCUUGAACUCGGCCGCGCGCUGUGAAGUUCUUGCUCUACUCGAAAGAGGGAAAGUAUUUCCUUGAGUUUGCGUUUUAGGGGACACUUACAGCAUUGACACUUUAUUUAAAAUAUUUACUACUGCUGUAGAAAAAAAAAAAAAAACCCGAAAAACAGUGGGGCUGUUUAUAAGACGCUGGGAAUCAGUAAAGAAGAAUAGUGAUCCGGGAGAUACAGGAAGCAAAUGAUCUGAGCUCAAAAAAGCGAGCUGCUUUCAGAGAUAUUAAUAUUUUAUAGAAGAGAUGCAGGAGAGUGAACUCAAGCAGAGCCCAGCGGAUUGCCUGCGUUGGCAAAAUAGAACGGAUAUUCUUGGGAAACCAAGGAAUAGAAAACUAUGGCAAACUUCUAAAACAAAGAAUUGUAGCUAACAAAUCAAUAAAGGAGGUAAAAUAGAAUAUAAACAACUAAUCCAAAAGAAGGCAGAAAAAGUGAAGACGAACAAAGAAAAAAAUGAAGAGAAUAGAAAACAAAUAGCAAAAUGAUAGGGGUAAGCCUAAGCAUAUUUGUUAUCACCAUUAAAUGUAAAUAUCUUAACUAUACCAUUGAAAGGAAGAGAUUAUUAGAUUGGAUACAACAGCAAAAUUGUGUUAAGUACACUAAAUAUAAAAAAAAAAGAUGGAAAAAAUAUUCCAUGCUUAUAUUA